AGGAUUAUAGUUUAUUAAAAACAUUUGACUUGCAUUCAAAAAAAAUUAUAUUAAAUAAUUUAUCUUA
rnacentral:tRNA from 1 species